GUGCUGGCUUUGGCAGCACAUACACUAAAAUUGGAAGGAGACAGAAAAUUAGCAUGGCCCCUGUGAAAGGAUGACAAGUAAAUUCAUAAAGUUUUUUGUUUGUUU